AUGCUUCAACGGCCAGCAGCUCAGAGGUGGGUCAAGGAGAAAGUUUCCCUUGGAGCAACCCAAGCCAAAGGAGUAUGGCCGAGCUCAGAUUUUGUGAUGCUGGAUCUGUGGAUGUUCAAGCACUGCCAGAUGAGCAGCCAAGACAGAUGUGCAAAGGGGCCACAGCACAGACAAAUCCUCUGCAGCCAUCACAGUUCUCCUGGGGAAGGAUCCUCCAAAUCCCAACAAAAAACAGAAAACAGGAAGGAAGAAAACUCAUCAGAAUGCCAAUCUGGAACCAGUAACAGCUGGAGUCUCGAUCUCAUUUGGAUCACCUACACAUUACCUACAAGUUGCAAGGAUACAAGGAAACUGUCUACUAUUUAAAAAAAAAAAAAAAAAAAAAGACUAUUUCAUGCCUUCUUUUUUAAAAAAA
rnacentral:lncRNA from 1 species